GAUGAACGCUAGCUACAGGCUUAACACAUGCAAGUCGAGGGGAAACGAUAUUGGAAGCUUGCUUCUGAUAGGCGUCGACCGGCGCACGGGUGAGUAACGCGUAUCCAACCUGCCCAUCACUUGGGGAUAACCUUGUGAAAGUAAGACUAAUACCCAAUGACGUCUCUAGAAGACAUCUGAAAGAGAUUAAAGAUUUAUCGGUGAUGGAUGGGGAUGCGUCUGAUUAGCUUGUUGGCGGGGUAACGGCCCACCAAGGCGACGAUCAGUAGGGGUUCUGAGAGGAAGGUCCCCCACAUUGGAACUGAGACACGGUCCAAACUCCUACGGAGGCAGCAGUGAGGAAUAUUGGUCAAUGGACGAGAGUCUGAACCAGCCAAGUAGCGUGCAGGAUGACGGCCCUAUGGGUUGUAAACUGCUUUUAUAAGGGAAUAAAGUGAGUCUCGUGAGGC
rnacentral:rRNA from 1 species